GGUCAAGCUACAAAGGGCUCACGGUGGAUACCUUGGCACACAGAGGCGAUGAAGGACGUGUUUACCUGCGAUAAGUCUCGGGGAGCUGGAAAAACGCUUUGAUCCGGGAAUUUCCGAAUGGGGCAACCCCUAGAACGGC
rnacentral:rRNA from 11 species